rnacentral:rRNA from 1 species
AUUGAACGCUGGCGGCAUGCUUUACGCAUGCAAGUCGAACGGUAACAGGUUAAGCUGACGAGUGGCGAACGGGUGAGUAAUGCAUCGGAACGUGCCCGGUCGUGGGGGAUAACACUUCGAAAGAAGUGCUAAUACCGCAUACGAUCUAAGGAUGAAAGCGGGGGACCGUAAGGCCUCGCGCGAUUGGAGCGGCCGAUGUCAGAUUAGGUAGUUGGUGGGGUAAAGGCCCACCAAGCCGACGAUCUGUAGCUGGUCUGAGAGGACGACCAGCCACACUGGGACUGAGACACGGCCCAGACUCCUACGGGAGGCAGCAGUGGGGAAUUUUGGACAAUGGGCGCAAGCCUGAUCCAGCAAUGCCGCGUGCAGGAAGAAGGCCUUCGGGUUGUAAACUGCUUUUGUACGGAGCGAAAAGGCUCUCUCUAAUACAGGGGGCUGAUGACGGUACCGUAAGAAUAAGCACCGGCUAACUACGUGCCAGCCGCCGCCGUAA